GAUGAAGAACGUAGCGAAAUGCGAUAAGUAAUGUGAAUUGCAGAAUCCAGUGAAUCAUCGAAUCUUUGAACGCACAUUGCGCCCGCCAGCAUUCUGGCGGGCAUGCCUGUUCGAGCGUCAUUUCAACCCUCGACCUCCCUUUGGGGAAGUCGGCGUUGGGGACCGGCAGCACACCGCCGGCCCUGAAAUGGAGUGGCGGCCCGUCCGCGGCGACCUCUGCGUAGUAAUCCAACUCGCACCGGAACCCCGACGCGGCCACGCCGUAAAACACCCAACUUCUGAACGUUGACCUCGAAUCAGGUAGGACUACCCGCUGAACUUAAGCAUAUCAAUAAGCGGAGAA
rnacentral:misc_RNA from 1 species